GACAAACGCUGGCGGCGUGCUUAACACAUGCAAGUCGAGCGGUAAGGCCCCUUCGGGGGUACACGAGCGGCGCACGGGUGAGUAACACGUGAGCAAUCUGCCCAUCACAUCGGGAUAACUCCGGGAAACCGAAGCUAAUACCGAAUACGACCACCUCCGGCAUCGGAUGGUGGUGGAAAGUUCCGGCGGUGAUGGAUGAGCUCGCGGCCUAUCAGCUUGUUGGUGGGGUAACGGCCCACCAAGGCUUCGACGGGUAGCCGGCCUGAGAGGGUGACCGGCCACACUGGGACUGAGACACGGCCCAGACUCCUACGGGAGGCAGCAGUGGGGAAUAUUGGACAAUGGGCGAAAGCCUGAUCCAGCAACGCCGCGUGAGGGAUGACGGCCUUCGGGUUGUAAACCUCUUUCAGCAGGGACGAAGCGCAAGUGACGGUACCUGCAGAAGAAGCACCGGCCAACUACGUG
rnacentral:rRNA from 1 species